rnacentral:rRNA from 1 species
UGGGGAAUAUUGGACAAUGGGCGAAAGCCUGAUCCAGCCAUGCCGCGUGUGUGAAGAAGGUCUUCGGAUUGUAAAGCACUUUAAGUUGGGAGGAAGGGCAGUAAGCGAAUACCUUGCUGUUUUGACGUUACUGACAGAAUAAGCACCGGCUAACUCUGUGCCAGCAGCCGCGGUAAUACAGAGGGUGCAAGCGUUAAUCGGAAUUACUGGGCGUAAAGCGCGCGUAGGUGGUUCGUUAAGUUGAGUGUGAAAACCCCGGGCUCAACCUGGGAACUGCAUCCAAAACUGGCGAGCUAGAGUAGGGCAGAGGGUGGUGGAAUUUCCUGUGUAGCGGUGAAAUGCGUAGAUAUAGGAAGGAACACCAGUGGCGAAGGCGACCACCUGGGCUCAUACUGACACUGAGGUGCGAAAGCGUGGGGAGCAAACAGG